GUCCCCGUGGUGAAAUGGAUAUCAUACAUGGCUUCGGACCAUGCGUUGUGGGUUCGAAUCCUGCCGGGGACG
rnacentral:tRNA from 1 species